rnacentral:rRNA from 1 species
GAACUGGAGAGUUUGAUCCUGGCUCAGAUUGAACGCUGGCGGUAGGCCUAACACAUGCAAGUCGAACGGUAACGG